rnacentral:rRNA from 1 species
GCGUUGUCCGGAAUGAUUGGGCGUAAAGGGCGCGUAGGCGGCCCGUUAAGUCUGGAGUGAAAGUCCUGCUUUCAAGGUGGGAAUUGCUUUGGAUACUGAUGGGCUGGAGUGCAGGAGAGGAAAGCGGAAUUACCGGUGUAGCGGUGAAAUGCAUUGAUAUCAGGAGGAACACCGGCGGCGAAAGCGGCAUCCUGGCUUAUAUCUGACGCUGAGGCGCGAAAGCGUGGGUAGC